CAUUUAACCCCUAAAUUUUAUAAGACACUUUAAUAAUUAAACUCAUAAUUCGGGUCAAUCUAGUAAAUUUUCUCUUUCUAUAAUUACAUAUUUAAGAUUCCAAUUUCCAACUUUCAGUUUCAUCUAACGUCUAACUUCGAAGAUGGUUAAGUCAUGCCUAAGCUAACUAGCAAUCAUUAUUCUCAGUAGUCCUACUCAAACAACAAACACUAAUUAAUCUACAGCUUCAUUCUUCGAGCUAAACUAAUGACACUACUUUUCGAUUCUAAGAAAUUUAAAUUUUGAAACAAUUCAUGUUUCUGAUGAGCUCAAACUUUGUUUACCUGAUGAAACCCAGUUUCUGAGAUCAGACUCACCUCGAUCGAGGAAUACAAAAGCUCGAGUAGAUUUAGGAGA
rnacentral:lncRNA from 1 species